GGAGCUUUGAUGACUCGGGCGCUCAGAAGACAGAGCCACAGCAAACAGGCUGAUUAAAUAUAAACCCAGCUCCAGUAGUGCAGUGCGAGGGGCUAGGGCAGGGCAAAGCUGCCCUGCAGACAGUGCUCCAGCUCUGGCACGGGGGGCAUGAGGUGGAGAGGAAUGUUUUUACAUGCUGCAUUUAUGGCAGAAGUGAACCUGUGGAGCUGAGUCUGUGUGAUGGUGUGCAGCCUGGUGCUGGGGAUGAAGGAACUCAUGGGGUUGGCUGCUUGUAAUCACAGAGCUCUCAGAAUCUUCUGCUAAAAUGCCAGCUAUCAGCAUACUCCCUGAAAACAUUCCUGUUUCGGACACAAUGCUUUCUGCUGAACACUGACUCUAUUGACAGCAUCAUCUGAACACCAGCCUAUUACCAUCUGCAUUUCAAAGCUGGGGAAACUAAGGCACGGCAGCACCAUCUCCUGCUGCUCCAACAGAUCCCAUUCAUGGAACUGGGGGAGCAGGAAAGCGCUGAGGACCAAGCAGAGGGAUUGGUACUUGUGCUGGAAGAGGAGGAAUGGCCUUGGACCCCUAUGCCUUCUGGGACAGUCCCAGGUCUGCGUUGUGGCAUCCUGACCCCUGCAAGGGCUCUGCUGUACCUGGGGACACAGUCACACUCACAACUGCUGCACCUCCUGCACUGUCAGCUAAUUAACUGCCUAUUUUCCCCCUCUUCUUCUGCCUGAAUUGCAACAGACAUCUGGCAGAGUUUUACAUGGCCCCAGUCUUUAACUUUCUGCUUAUUAGGGGAUUUAAUAGUAAAACUUCCCCAGACAGGCAUCCUCCAAUGGAGUGGCAGCAGGAGCUAAGAUGUCCCAACAGGUGGGAUCUUUGCUGGGUUUCUCAGGACACCCCACAUCACCCAUCCCUGCUGUGAAGUUUUGGGGGUAUUUUAAGCUUGUCUGCACAUUUCCUCUGGUGAAAGAAGGAUCCAGACACGAUCCUCCAGUGCUGGGUCAAGCAUCUUUACCACCGGCCAUGCUCUGCACACCCCUAGAGCUCUCCUGCCAGGCUGAAGCAGUGUUUGGCAAACUCACACUCCGUUUCAGGACAGCCAAAGCCACAUUUCCCAAUGAGUUCAGCAGUUAUCCCUCUCCCAGGAGGUCACCCACGUCGUGAUGCUUCUGUGCCUACAUCUCCAUGUCCCCAGGACAGGGCAUCCCACAACCGCCCAGCACCAGGACUGUGUGGGUGCAGCCGCAGCCUUCCCUUCUCCAGACCAGCCCGGCUCAGGGCCAGGCGUCUGUGACUAAUUGGUAGCAAAGCACUUAUCAGGCAAACUUUAGCCUCUCUUCCGGUUCAUGCAUUGCUCAUGAGCUAUUUGUGAAUUUUUUGACUUUAAUUGUUAUCCUAAAUUAUUCAUCAAAUUAUUUCAAUAACUAGUUCUUGGGCCAGAUUACAUUUUAUAUGAGCUGUUUCCGUGCGUGCUUCUGCCAAAGAACUCACUGUCAAGCAGCCACAGAAAGCAAAUGCAAAAAGGGACAUGAAACACAGGGAAACAAACUGCAGGAAGCAUGAAGGGGACUUUUCACCCCGACCUGCUCAGUGUUUAAGGAACGCUCAGCCUGCAAGAGCAUGGGGUUGACCUGCCCAGCACCUCUCAGGAGCUGCCAAUGUCAGACCCGUUGCUCCACUGACAGCGGCUGAUGGACGAGCACGGUUUCCCCUCCCUUAGGUCACUGGGAGAGUCAUCAAACUGAUGAUAAACCCAGUGCUGCUGGCUCCCAGCACAGGCUCCCACUGCUGGGCUGCAUCUCC